rnacentral:rRNA from 1 species
UACAGAGGUCCCAAGCGUUGUUCGGAUUCAUUGGGCGUAAAGGGUGUGUAGGCGGCGCCGUAAGUCGGGUGUGAAAUUUCGGAGCUUAACUCCGAAACUGCAUUCGAUACUGCGGUGCUUGAGGACUGGAGAGGAGACUGGAAUUCAUGGUGUAGCAGUGAAAUGCGUAGAGAUCGUGAGGAAGACCAGUGGCGAAGGCGGGUCUCUGGACAGUUCCUGACACUGAGACACGAAGGCCAGGGGAGCAAACGGG